GAUGAACGCUGGCGGCGUGCCUAACACAUGCAAGUCGAGCGAUUUAAUACGGUAAAGUGCGGCGGACGGGUGGGUAAUGCCUGGGUAAUCUGCCAUGCAUACACGGCUAAUAUACCGUGAGGUAUGAUAAUACGAGACAAUAUGCAUUUAUCCCAACGUAGAAGUAUCAAAGCUAUUGCGGCAUAGGAUGGUCCCGCGUCUGAUUAGCUAGUUGGUGAGGUAACAGCUCACCAAGGAGACGAUCAGUAGCCGAACGGAGAGAGUGUUCGGCGACAUUUGAACUAGGACACGGUCGGAACUCCUAGAGGAGGCAGCAAAGGGGAAUAUAGCACAAUGGGGUAGGGCCAGAUGGAGCUAGGCCGCGAGAGCGAUGAAGUUCGGAAGGACGUGAAGCAGUGUACUCAAGGGAUGUAAUGACGGUACCUAAAGAGUAAGCCCCGGCUAACUACGUG
rnacentral:rRNA from 1 species